CCCUGAUUUCCAAAGGAAAUGCAAAAUUUACUUUCAUCAGAGAACAUAACUUUGGACCACUCAGCAACAGUCCAGUCCUUUUUGUCUUUAGCCCAGGCAAGACGCUUCUGACGCGGUCUGUUGGUCUCUUUCAUUUUAGAGGUAUAGAUGUCAAAAAACAAAAAACAAAAAAACAAAAAAAAAACAAUUGUCAUAAGUCAUUCAGCACCAUUUCAUUCCAAAUUCCAAACUGACGUUCCUAGGUGUUCCUUAGCUGCAUCAGAUGUGUUUAGGAUCUGAGUUUGUCACCCCAGCUGUAGAUGUUGGUUCUGCUGUUUAGAGCUGGUCUGUUCCUUUUGACUAGUCUCUUUCUGCAAGUUGGUUGUAAAUGAGAGUUCAAUUGUAUGCUUGAACUUUAAAGUUUUUCUUUUGUGAGCAUUCAUGCGCAGGUUUCUCAUACUGGGGUUCUGUAUUUAAUUCUGGCUUAAUCUAUUUUAAUUUUGGCUUUAUCACUGUAUCGGUGGUGAUUGCCAAGGCAGAAAAACAAACAAAAAAUUACACUGAGAUUAUGAAUGUCCAGUGUAUCUGAAACAGUCGCCCAUUUGAGAGACACUGUUGUAGAUAUUGAUGUAUGCAGAAAGGUUGUACAGUGUUACAUGUAUUUGUCCUUUGCAUUCUUGACAGGAACAUUGCAUACAGGAUAAUACCCGGAAAAUGGACAGAAAAACAGGCCUUGAUUUACAGGGUUUUCCAGGACAGCCAUAUGGAAAUGACUGUGGCAUAUUCAUGUUGAUGGUAAGGUGUACAAUAUGUUGGUGGUUAAUAAUAUAUUCAUUUUGCCCUAAGACUAACUUGUCUUUCAUUUAUAGUCUGCAUUGUAUAUUGUGCUGGAUGCUCCAUUUGACUGCACAAUUGUAAGUAAUAUUAUAGUUUUCAGUAACUUAGAGACAGUAUAACUUACAAAGGGCAUAAACUUUUGUGUUUUGAGCAGCUGGACAUGGCAGAGUUGAGGAAAUGGUGGUGCAUCAUGUUAAUGGAGAACUUCGGACUGGAUCGACAUGGAAAACUGUUUGCCCAUUAUGCAGAAGAGUCCAAAGCCUUGAGAGGUGAUUAGCAGCCUGUAUUUAGGUUGCAAAAGAGGAAGUUUGAAAAAAAUUCUUGGGUAAAAGCAUAUACUUUGAAAUCAUGAGGUUAAAAAUGGCAUUUUAUCAUAUACUAGCUAAACUUGUGCUGUAUUUUUUCCACUAACAGGAAAAGCCUUUCACAUACAGGUAACUCGUACCUUUUUCUUUGUUCCAGCUCCUCAGAAAAAGUAUGUUACUUUUUAAAAAGGUAGUACUAAAGAUAACUGGUUCACAUUCAAUCUUCAUAUGUUUUUUAGGAAGAUGAAACGAAUGAUUUCACCCCUGAGUCUGCACCAGAGAAGCAGGUGGCUCCACGAAAAGUAGGUUUUAUUAGAGGGGUUGCAGCCAUUGUUGUUCAGCAUAUUUUUAAUUAUCCUCUUUUGCAUUGUUUUUUCUUAGGUGCGUAUCAUGACGAAUCUGAAGAUUGCCAGUCAGUGGUGCUUGGAGAACUCCGGUGAUCUUCUUGGCUCAGUUCAGCUUCCUCGUAUACUGUGCAUGGAGGAUGAAGAAGCCAUUGAGGCCUUGGACCAGUACUGCAGUGCAGAGCAUAUAGAGGACGAUCUUGUAGAGCCACUGAUGUUUGUCUUUACAUUUAUGCAGGACAUGCAUACAUUUGUAGAGAAUGUGGUGGACAACAUCCACCUCACAGCAAUCUUUUGUCGCACACAAGAUAAAACAAACAAACAAACAAAAAAAAUGGUCCAUUUCAUUUUUUCAUGGAAUGUUUUUCUAUAUAUUUUCUAUAUAAUAUAUUUUAUCUUAUUUUUUACAAUGCU